rnacentral:rRNA from 1 species
AUUGAACGCUGGCGGAAUGCUUUACACAUGCAAGUCGAGCGGCAGCGCGGGGCAACCUGGCGGCGAGCGGCGAACGGGUGAGUAACACAUCGGAACAUACCCAGUCGUGGGGGAUAACACUUCGAAAGAAGUGCUAAUACCGCAUACGUCCUGAGGGAGAAAGCGGGGGAUCUUCGGACCUCGCGCGAUUGGAGUGGCCGAUGUCAGAUUAGCUAGUUGGUGGGGUAAAGGCCUACCAAGGCGACGAUCUGUAGCUGGUCUGAGAGGACGACCAGCCACACUGGGACUGAGACACGGCCCAGACUCCUACGGGAGGCAGCAGUGGGGAAUUUUGGACAAUGGGGGCAACCCUGAUCCAGCCAUUCCGCGUGAGUGAAGAAGGCCUUCGGGUUGUAAAGCUCUUUCGGCAGGAACGAAACGGCGCGCUCUAACAUAGCGCGUUAAUGACGGUACCUGAAGAAGAAGCACCGGCUAACUACGUG